rfam:Carrot red leaf virus, complete genome
GAAGCUAGCCGAGAAACACGUUGUUGCAAUCGUCGGAAGCAAAGCCAACUACAA